GGAGCUGUGCCCGAACCCAAGGAUCACUUUGAUAGAGUGAACUAUGAGGGUUGAAAUCCCUCCAACUCCC
rnacentral:tRNA from 1 species